rnacentral:tRNA from 1 species
GCACUGGUGGUCUAGCGGUUAAGAUUCGCCACUCUCACCGCCGUAGCCUGGGUUCAAUUCCUAGUCAGAGAA